GAUGAAAGAUCAGGCUUUGCUGUGCCAAGGAAGCAUCAGAGAACAACUGAACACAAGAACAGCAGAUGACUACUGUGAACAGUGAUUAACCAUUGGAACAAACCAUCGGAACAAACUACAAAGGAGAUUGGACUACGAGAAGAUAUCAGACAAAUCAAGAAAAGGAUAUAACACAUCCACAAUGGGUGGGCUGCUCUGGGCCUGGUAUCCAGAAUGACCAGCUGGGUGUCAGAUUCUGAUCAAAGGAAACCAAUGAUUUUCCAGGUUUCAUAUUAAUAGCACAAUAGUCAUAUGAAAAUGAAGCCGGAGAACAGAGACUACCCUUUUGAUGGCUCAAGAUAAAAAAUAAAAUAAACAGAUAAAAGAGAUAAAGAUAAAAAUCUUUUGGGAGAAUAAUAAAGACUCUUGUGGCCUUCUGAAAGAGCUCCAAUUCCCUUGACCAGUAAGGGCAGACGAUCAGCACAAGUCCCUCAUCCCAACAAUGUAAGUCUGUCCCAACCUCUGAACUGACAAAGGCAAUGAUCAGACCAUGACAAAUUCAA